UUACGGCCAUAUCCCGCUGAAACACCGGUUCUCGUAUGAACUCCGACGUUAAGCAACGUCCAGGCUUGUCAAUGCCUAAAUGGUAGACCUCUUGGGAAGACUAGGUGCU